AGCAGUAGCGCGGUAAUACAGAGGGUGCGAGCGUUAAUCGGAUUUACUGGGCGUAAAGCGUGCGUAGGCGGCUAAUUGAGUCGGAUGUGAAAUCCCCGAGCUUAACUUGGGAAUUGCAUUCGAUACUGGUUAGCUAGAGUGUGGGAGAGGAUGGUAGAAUUCCAGGUGUAGCGGUGAAAUGCGUAGAGAUCUGGAGGAAUACCGAUGGCGAAGGCAGCCAUCUGGCCUAACACUGACGCUGAGGUACGAAAGCAUGGGGAGCAAACAGGAUUAGAUACCCCAGUAGUCCCUGUCUCUUAUACA
rnacentral:rRNA from 1 species